AGAGGCAUACGGCAUGGGAA
rnacentral:miRNA from 1 species